rnacentral:rRNA from 1 species
CUACGGGACGCAGCAGUGGGGAAUAUUGGACAAUGGGGGAAACCCUGAUCCAGCAAUGCCGCGUGUGCGAUGAAGGCCUGCGGGUUGUAAAGCACUUUCGUUGGGGAAGAAAUGCUCAAAUAUAAUACGUUUGAGAGCUGACGUUACCCAAAGAAGAAGCACCGGCAAACUCUGUGCCAGCAGCCGCGGUAAUACAGAGGGUGCAAGCGUUAAUCGGAGUUACUGGGCGUAAAGGGCGCGUAGGCUGAUAUUUAAGUCGGUUGUGAAAUCCCUGGGCUUAACCUAGGAAUUGCAUUCGAUACUGAAUGUCUUGAGUAUGGUAGAGGAAAGUGGAAUUCUCGGUGUAGUGGUUAAAUACGUAGAUAUCGAGAAGAACACCGGUGGCGAAGGCGACUUUCUGGACCAAUACUGACGCUGAGGCGCGAAAGCAUGGGGAGCAAACAGGAUUAGAUACCCUCGUAGUC